GAACGCUGAUUACGGGGUAGCAAUAUUCCGUAGUCGGAGUGGCGCAAGGGUGCGUAACACGUGGGCAAUUUGCCGCGAAGCCUGGAAUAACUCGCUGAAAGGCGAGCUAAUGCCGGAUGUGAUUUCUGGAGAGCAUCCUCCGGAACUCAAAGCUGGGGACCGUAAGGCCUGGCGCUUCGCGAUAAGCCCGCGGCCUAUCAGCUAGUUGGUGAGGUAACGGCCCACCAAGGCUAAGACGGGUAGCUGGUCUGAGAGGACGACCAGCCACACUGGAACUGAGACACGGUCCAGACACCUACGGGUGGCAGCAGUCGAGAAUUUUUCACAAUGGGCGAAAGCCUGAUGGAGCGACGCCGCGUGGGGGAUGAAUGGCUUCGGCCCGUAAACCCCUGUCAUUUGCGAUCAAACCGCAUUAUUUAAAAGAUGAUGCGCUGAUAGUAGCGAAAGAGGAAGGGACGGCUAACUCUGUGCCAGCAGCCGCGGUAAUACAGAGGUCCCAAGCGUUGUUCGGAUUCACUGGGCGUAAAGGGUGCGUAGGUGGUCGGGUAAGUCUGAUGUGAAAUCUCCGAGCUUAACUCGGAAACGGCAUCGGAUACUAUUCGGCUCGAGGGUUGGAGGGGGGACUGGAAUACUUGGUGUAGCAGUGAAAUGCGUAGAUAUCAAGUGGAACACCAGUGGCGAAGGCGAGUCCCUGGACAACUCCUGACGCUGAGGCACGAAAGCUAGGGGAGCAAACAGGAUUAGAUACCCUGGUAGUCCUAGCCGUAAACGGUGCACGUUUGCUGUAAGAGGAAUCGACCCCUUUUGUGGCGAAGCUAACGCGUUAAACGUGCCGCCUGGGAAGUACGGUCGCAAGAUUAAACUCAAAU
rnacentral:rRNA from 1 species